AUUACCCAUUUCCUUAUAGCACGUGAUAUUCCCCUUUUGUAAAUCAGCAACCAGUACACCCCACACAACACUUAUCACUUACGAUCCUAAACACCAAGCUUCCCUCACGAGUUUGAUGGCUUAGCACCACUCUCUUUUCCUUAAUUUCUUUCGUCGCAGUGGAUGUUGUCGACACCCACAGCAACAAAAAUCAUCAUCACCUUGUGUUCUUGUCUCUUAGCCAUGGACCCUUUAACACCAAAAGCUUGAUCUUUCUUCCCGUUACUCAAGUGUUUUAUGUCGAUUAAGGGUUAGAGAGAAAGUUCUAUACGCAGAGGACAUCGUCUUAUCGUACUCUUGGAAGUCCCUGGAAAAUCUCAGCAUUGAACAGGUGAGAAGGAUCAUAGGAAGGCCACAGUGGUAGGGCAGAUGGUUGUUAAUUAAACACAACAACCGAGGGUUGUGUGCUAUUAUAUGUUUUGCUUGUGUUAUGUUUUGUUUUGUAUAGUGUAUUUGUGGGAGCUAAUGGCCUAGGCCUAUUUCCUAUUCCCCUUGUUGUAAAUAUUUGUGACUUGUUAUAGUGGGUAUUCUCAUCCCUUCUUUUUUUGAAAAACUUAUGUCUCCCAAAUUUGUAUAGUUGAUGUUCUUAGUACCCACGAAUAGUGAAAUGUUAUGUACUUGAACUUUGUCCUACCAUAUUCUUUCUUAUAAUGGAUAUAUCCUACUCUAUAUGGUCUUCAAUCAGUA